rnacentral:rRNA from 1 species
GAGAGUUAAACAGUACGUGAAAUUGUUGAAAGGGAAACGAUUGAAGCCAGUCGUACCUUCGGGUAAUCAGCCUUUCGGGUGCGAUUCUGUGGAGUGUGAGGAGCUUAAACACCUUCAUGUUUUGCAUAUUCGUACUCUUGGGUGUACUUGCCCGUGUGGUUGGUUAACAUCAAUUUUGGUGGUCAUAAAAUGACUGGAGGAAUGUAGCUUCGAUCUCGUAUUGAAGUGUUAUAGCCUUCGGUAGAUGUGAUGAUCGAGAUUGAGGAUUGCAACGGAUACCCUUCGGGGCUACCUGUCUGAUCUCUGAUCGUUGCUCUGGUGCCGAAAGCUUGCUUACGGUUAUCAAAGUCGAUGGUCAAUAGGUUAGAACGGGUUAAAUUCGUUAAGGAUGUUGACGUAAUGGCUUUAAACGA